rfam:Triticum aestivum genome assembly, contig: Triticum_aestivum_CS42_TGACv1_scaffold_308622_4AS
CUUGUACUCCCUCCGUCCGAAAAUACUUGUCAUUGAAAUGGAUGUAUCUGGAUGUAUUUUAGUUCUAGACACAUCGUUUUGAUGACAAGUAAUUCCGGACAGAUGGAGUACUUA